AGGAUGAACGCUGGCGGCGUGCCUAAUACAUGCAAGUCGAGCGGUAACACUUCGGGUGACGAGCGGCGGACGGCUGAGUAACGCGUAGGAACGUACCCCAGAGUGAGGGAUAAGCACCGGAAACGGUGUCUAAUACCGCAUAAUCUCUUAGGAGCAAAGCAGCAAUGCGCUUUGGGAACGGCCUGCGUAUGAUUAGCUUGUUGGUGAGGUAAUGGCUCACCAAGGCUACGAUCGGUAGCUGGUCUGAGAGGAUGACCAGCAUCACUGGGACUGAGACACGGCCCAGACUCCUACGGGAGGCAGCAGUGGGGAAUAUUGGACAAUGGGCGCAAGCCUGAUCCAGCCAUGCCGCGUGGAUGAUGAAGGCCUUAGGGUUGUAAAGUCCGUUUUAACGGGAAGAUAAUGACGGUACCCGUAGAAUAAGCCCGGCUAACUUCGUGCCAGCAGCCGCGGU
rnacentral:rRNA from 1 species